ACUAUGUUGUCUGGAGUGCAGUGGCUGGAGUGGAGUGGCUAUUCACAGAGCCUGUUCUGCUGGGACACAGAAUCACUUGCUCCAUCUCAUACAUUGAUGAUGAUUAAUUUGUAUGUGUACCUUCCAAAAAAAGAUGGUUGUGUUUGAACGGAGGCCUUCUGGACAGGAAAAUACACAGACAGCUCUUGAGGUAUCUGAAGCCUGUCUCUUCAGGUACACAAAGCAUUACAGCAUUAAGUCAGCAGAGCGAAGGACCAUGAUUUUGCAAUGAAAAUAAUAAUUUAGAUGGAGAGUGCGUGCUUUGGAUUCAAGACUGGGAAUGAGGGGACCAGAAACCUAUUCUGUGGCUGU
rnacentral:lncRNA from 1 species